rnacentral:rRNA from 1 species
GGUAUGGGAUGAGCUUGCGUCCGAUUAGCUAGUUGGCGGGGCAACGGCCCACCAAGGCGACGAUCGGUAGCCGGCCUGAGAGGGUGGUCGGCCACAUUGGGACUGAGAUACGGCCCAGACUCCUACGGGAGGCAGCAGUAGGGAAUAUUGCACAAUGGGGGAAACCCUGAUGCAGCAACGCCACGUGUGGGAAGAAGCAUUUCGGUGUGUAAACCACUGUCAUGAGGGAAUAAGGCCUAUUUUCGGAUAGGAUUGAAUGUACCUUGAGAGGAAGCACCGGCAAACUUCGUGCCAGCAGCCGCGGUAAUACGAGGGGUGCAAGCGUUGUUCGGAAUUACUGGGCGUAAAGGGAGCGUAGGCGGAGAUUCAAGCGGAUUGUACAAUCCCGGGGCCCAACCCCGGCUCUGCAGUCCGAACUGGAUCUCUUGGAUAGUUCAGGGGCAGGC